rnacentral:rRNA from 1 species
AUUGAACGCUGGUGGCAGGCUUAACACAUGCAAGUCGAGCGGAGAGAGGUAGCUUGCUACCGAUCUUAGCGGCGGACGGGUGAGUAAUGCUUAGGAAUCUGCCUAUUAGUGGGGGACAACAUUUCGAAAGGAAUGCUAAUACCGCAUACGUCCUACGGGAGAAAGCAGGGGAUCUUCGGACCUUGCGCUAAUAGAUGAGCCUACGUCGGAUUAGCUAGUUGGUGGGGUAAAGGCCUACCAAGGCGACGAUCUGUAGCGGGUCUGAGAGGAUGAUCCGCCACACUGGGACUGAGACACGGCCCAGACUCCUACGGGAGGCAGCAGUGGGGAAUAUUGGACAAUGGGCGCAAGCCUGAUCCAGCCAUGCCGCGUGUGUGAAGAAGGCCUUAUGGUUGUAAAGCACUUUAAGCGAGGAGGAGGCUACUCUAGUUAUUACCUAGAGAUAGUGGACGUUACUCGCAGAAUAGCACCGGCUAACUCUGUGCCAGCCGCCGCAGUAAAAC